rnacentral:rRNA from 1 species
UGGGGAAUAUUGCACAAUGGGCGCAAGCCUGAUGCAGCCAUGCCGCGUGUAUGAAGAAGGCCUUCGGGUUGUAAAGUACUUUCAGCGGGGAGGAAGGGAGUAAAGUUAAUACCUUUGCUCAUUGACGUUACCCGCAGAAGAAGCACCGGCUAACUCCGUGCCAGCAGCCGCGGUAAUACGGAGGGUGCAAGCGUUAAUCGGAAUUACUGGGCGUAAAGCGCACGCAGGCGGUUUGUUAAGUCAGAUGUGAAAUCCCCGGGCUCAACCUGGGAACUGCAUCUGAUACUGGCAAGCUUGAGUCUCGUAUAGGGGGGUAGAAUUCCAGGUGUAGCGGUGAAAUGCGUAGAGAUCUGGAUGAAUACCGGUGGCGAAGGCGGCCCCCUGGACGAAGACUGACGCUCAGGUGCGAAAGCGUGGGGAGCAAACAGG